UUAUUACAACCCGAGAUUAUUUCUAGUUAACUGUAAUAAGUAGCUAUCAAGAUCUCGAACACACAACACGGCUAUAGGCACGGGUAUCUUCACGUGAUAUUUGUACUCUAUCAGUAUAAUAUUGUAUAAACGAUAAGGACUGCGCUUGUCAAUAGACGCUUUCAGAACUACAGCUUCUUGUCCCAUUGGCAGCAUUACAGCCAACGAAAGUUCCUCCCCUAUCUUUUAAUUGUACGUAUUAUAACGUCUACAGACGAGACGUUCGUAUUUCGCAUAAACGGAAAAAGCACAUUACCCAGAUCACGUAUAUGAGAUACAAGAUUCCGAGAUUUUUACUUCCCGCCAACGCGUAGUAGGUACU